rnacentral:rRNA from 1 species
UACAGAGGGUGCGAGCGUUAAUCGGAAUUACUGGGCGUAAAGCGCACGUAGGUGGCGACGUAAGUCGGGUGUGAAAGCCCCGGGCUCAACCUGGGAAUUGCAUUCGAGACUGCAUUGCUGGAGUACGGAAGAGGAAGGCGGAAUUCCCGGUGUAGUGGUGAUAUGCGUAGAUAUCGGGAGGAAUACCAGUGGCGAAGGCGGUUCUCUGGGCCUUACCUGACGCUGAGACGCGAAAGCGUGGGGAGCGAACCGG